rnacentral:rRNA from 1 species
UACGUAGGGUGCAAGCGUUGUCCGGAAUUAUUGGGCGUAAAGAGCUCGUAGGCGGUUCGUCACGUCGGCUGUGAAAACCUGAGGCUCAACCUCAGGCCUGCAGUCGAUACGGGCGGACUUGAGUACUGCAGGGGAGACUGGAAUUCCUGGUGUAGCGGUGAAAUGCGCAGAUAUCAGGAGGAACACCGGUGGCGAAGGCGGGUCUCUGGGCAGUAACUGACGCUGGAGGAGCGAAAGCGUGGGAGCAAACAGG